AUGAUAAUGGCUGUCCUUUCCGCCUCCCGGCUUGGGGGGGGGGGCGGCGAUCCCCCCAAGGCCGCGUCAAGGGACUCGCGGGAGCGACGAGGGUCCAACAGAAGAGCAGCGUGUCCGAGAACGAAGAACAGGAAGAAGAGAAGAGAAAGCGGAUCUUGUUCGUCGGUUCUUAUGGCUUGGGAUGGUUCACGCCUCUUUUCAUGUGAAAGACCAAUGAAUGUCCGCGAUCUGAAGCGGAGGGAAAGUUCCUUUGUGCAGUGAUAUUCUAGCAAGUUCUUAAUUCAAGAUUAAUACAUUUUUCCUUACUUUGCUUUAGAUAAAUGGGUCUGUCAAAGCAUGACGAUUACACAGAUACCAAAAAUAAUAUAUAUAUAUAAAUGAUCAAAACAUGAAAAUACAUUCAAAUGCAGAAUUACCCACAUUUAAAGAUUUGAUCAACACAUGAUAAAACUUCAGAUAGUCCCAAUUUAUAUGGGAAACCUCUAAUGUACCGAAAAAACAAUACUAUAUACAUUUAGACUACAUUUGAGUACAAAUGACUUACAAAAGUAAGGAACUUUAAGAAAGGUUUCUUUUUGUGUGUGUGUGUGUGUGUGUGUGUGUGUGUGUGUGUGUGUUAAGGAAUUUGUGGGGGUUUCAGGUCUCCUUUGAGGCUCGCAUGGGUAUCGUAAAAUAAUUUAAGUCCAGCCAGGCUGGCGCCAGGCCAGGCAUUUAGUGCAAAAAGGGUUUCAUUUGUAUGCCUGAAUUUAACCCAUGAAUCGAUGACCUGCAUAUCUGUUACAGCAAUUAUAAUUGUCAUUAAAUAUACUUGACGAAAGUGGUCCUGAUUGAAAUCAAAGAAUCAUCAUCACCAACCGCAAACAAACCACUAUUUGCACACCUUUAUAUGUAAAUUCAACCAUAUUGUCAGCAGUUUUCAAAAAUAUAUAUUCUACCCUUAUUCUUGAUUCAACCAAUGCUUUGAACAUUUAAAAACAUUAACUAUUCGUCCUUCAAUAGCAGGCCUACAAGUUUUCCAAAUAGCCAAUUUUGCUUGACCAACCCUAUCAAGAUCCCUUCCAACAAUGCAGAGAUUGGCUCUAACCGUGGACAUUCAUUAAAAACGUGGAACACAGUAUCGUGCCCAUUACAAAAAUGACAAAAAGGCAAUACAUUUUAAUUGAAUUUUGAAACAAAAACAUUAGUGGCUAACACACAAUGCAGUAUUCUCCACUGUAAAUCACUUGAACGUUUUGGAAGGGGACUUUUAUAAAAAAGCCUCCAGGAGGGAGAAAUAUUAUCAACAGCUGACAGUUUUUUUCUCCAUUUAGUAUCCUGUCUGUUAUGCAAAUCAUUAAUGUAUGCUGUUUUCACACAGACUUGGUAAAUGC
rnacentral:lncRNA from 1 species